AUUGAACGCUGGCGGCAGGCCUAACACAUGCAAGUCGAACGAGUGGCGGACGGGUGAGUAAUGUAUGGGAAUCUGCCCGAUGGAGGGGGAUAACUACUGGAAACGGUAGCUAAUACCGCAUACCAUCGGAUGUGCCCAGAUGGGAUUAGCUAGUAGGUGGGGUAAUGGCUCACCUAGGCGACGAUCCCUAGCUGGUCUGAGAGGAUGAGCAGCAACACUGGAACGGAGACACGGCCCAGAAUCCUACGGGAGGCAGCAGUGGGGAAUAGUGCACAAGGGGCGCAAGCCGGAUGCAGCCAUGCCGCGUGUAUGAAGAAGGCCUGCGGGUUGUAAAGUACUUUCAGCGGGGAGGCGUUACCCGAAGAAGAAGCACCGGCUAACUCCGUGCCAGCAGCCGCGGUAAUUC
rnacentral:rRNA from 1 species